AUGCCCUUCAUCUUUCAAAAUUACCCAGGCUUGCAGGACAAGGGUCUGUUUUUCUGUCAGCAGAAUUGUGUCAUUCUGUACAGCUGUGAAGGACUGUGGUGGCUGCUAGGUGUUGAAGAACCAGACCCUGCUAGGAACAAUCUGGAGCAGAUGUGGAAUUGCAGGAAUUUCAGCAUCGGUGUCAAGGCCUCUUCACAUUCAAGGAAAAGAAUUGAAGUCAUACCCCCAAUGGAGCACAUCCAUCCAUCAAGGGGAGGAUACUGCAGCAUACAGGAUGUCAUCUUCCCACAGCCUCCUCCCUGCUUCCCUGUGGAGGCAAAGCACCAUUCAAGUGAAGGAGGCUUUAGAAAGGAGGGAAGGAGCCAGAUCCGUGUGGCUAACCAGUUCACCAUGGAGCAACAGGAACUGGACCACAGCUUGGGCACCUCAGCAGGCAGAGGUGCCUGCUGCUCCUCUGAAAGGAGUAUCAGAUGGAGAAUUAAAGAAGGGUAUGUUCUCGCAGCUGCCGGGCGCUAUCAACACUAUCCAGCAGGAUGA
rnacentral:lncRNA from 1 species